GGGAUUUGAAUGUGCAGCCAGGUUGAAAAUCACUAACCCACAUGAUAAUUUCAUCUUUCAGAAGGGAGAGGAAGUGAUGAAGAGGAUUAACACCCUGCUUCUAAUUCUGGCCAACUCGGAGGCCCUGCAUGGAAAAUCAGAAGUGACAGGAAUCCUGGAAGAGGGCCACCUGGCCAUCAGAAAAUUCCAGAGGGAUGUGGUCACUGCCAGACACACACUUGGUUAUGGAGCUCUGUGGUGUUAUGGAAGUGAAUGGCAUAUUGCCAUGAGUAAUGAAGUGAGAUCCCAGCAGUACCCACUGUACCAAGAAGCUGAGCGUUGACUGAAGGUCUGAUGGCUUCUAGACUCUCACCAUGAACUAACUGUGCCACACGUUGAAAUUGAAAUGUGGAUCCCUUGGAAUAACUUGUUUCCUGUUUUAUGAAGGUCAGAGGGUGGGAGUGAAAACUUACCAGUAACCAAACAUGGUGGUAUCAAGCCUAAUCAGAAAUAAAAAAACUUCUAAAAUCUGUG
rnacentral:lncRNA from 1 species